rnacentral:rRNA from 1 species
UACAGAGGGUGCGAGCGUUGUCCGGAAUCACUGGGCGUAAAGGGCGCGUAGGUGGCGCAACAAGUCAGUGGUGAAAGCUCGACGCUCAACGUCGAGUCGGCCACUGAGACUGUUGGGCUUGAGCACUGUAGAGGCUAAUGGAAUUCCGGGUGUAGCGGUGGAAUGCGUAGAGAUCCGGAAGAACACCAGUGGCGAAGGCGGCCCGCUGGGGCAGUAGCUGACGCUGAGGCGCGACAGCGUGGGGGAGCGAACAGG